CCUACGGGUGGCAGCAGUGGGGAAUAUUGGGCAAUGGGCGCAACCCUGACCCAGCAACGCCGCGUGAAGGAAGAAGGCUUUCGGGUUGUAAACUUCUUUUCUUAGGGACGAAUAAAGUGACGGUACCUCAGGAAUAAGCCACGGCUAACUACGUGCCAGCAGCCGCGGUAAUACGGAGGUGGCAAGCGUUAUCCGGAUUUAUGGGGUGUAAAGGGCGUGUAGGCGGGAAAGCAAGUCAGAUGUGAAAACUCAUUGCUCAACCCUGAGCCUGCAUUUGAAACUGUUUUUCUUGAGUGCUGGAGAGGCAAUCGGAAUUCUGGGUGUAGCGGUGAAAUGCGUAGAUAUCAGGAGGAACACUAGUGGCGAAGGCGAAUUGCUGGACAGUAACUGACGCUGAGGCGCGAAAGCGUGGGGAGCAAACAGGAUUAGAUACCCCUGUAGUC
rnacentral:rRNA from 1 species